rnacentral:rRNA from 1 species
GAAAUGCGAUAAGUAAUGUGAAUUGCAGAAUUCAGUGAAUCAUCGAAUCUUUGAACGCACCUUGCGCCCCUUGGUAUUCCGAGGGGCAUGCCUGUUUGAGUGUCAUUAAAUUCUCAACCUUACUAGCUUUUACUAGCUAUGUAAUGGCUUGGAAGUGGGGGUCUUUUGCUGGUUUCGCAAGAAGUCAGCUCCCCUAAAAUGCAUUAGCCGGUGCCCCGCGUGGACCGUCUAUUGGUGUGAUAAUUAUCUACGCCGUUAGAUGUCUGCUAUUAAAUGGGAUGYGCUGCUUCUAAUCGUCCGUCUUGGACAAUUAAUGACUAUUUGACCUCAAAUCAGGUAGGACUACCCGCUGAACUUAA